CCAAUAUUUUUAGGGUGAGAGGAAGGGGAAUUUUUAACCAAUUUUUUUUGUGGGGAGGGGUCUCCCCUCAGCCUUUUUUUGGGUGGGUGGGCGAGGUCAAGACCCCUCCCCAAAUAUUUUUUUGGGGAGGGGUCAGGGCUAUUUAAUCACAGAUUUUUUUAGAAGAAUUUUUUCUGAGACCCCACCCCACAAAUAAAUUUUUUUGAGGAAGAAAUGGACGAUUUUUACCCAAAUUUUUUUUGUGGGGAGGGGUCUCCCCUCAGCCUUUUUUUGGGUGGGUGGGUGAGGUCAAGACCCCUCCCCAAAUAUUUUUUUGGGGAGGGAAAUGGGGGGAUUUUUACCCAAAUUUUUUUUGUGGGGAGGGGUCUCCCUUCAGCCUUUUUUUGGGUGGGUGGGCGAGGUCAAGACCCCUCCCCAAAUAUUCUUUUGGGAGGGGUCAGGGCUACUUCAGCAAAGAUUUUUUAGAGAGUUUUUGCCCACAAGUAUUUUUUUUGGGGAAGGAAUGGGGGGAUUUUUACCCAAUUUUUUUGUGGGGAGGGGUCUCCCCUCAGCCUUUUUUUGGGUGGGUGGGCGAGGUGAAGACCCCUCCCCAUCAAUAUUUUUUGGAGGGGGGUCAGGGCUAUUUUUUAGAGAAUUUUUCUGAGACCCCACCCCACAAAUAAAUUUUUUUUGAGGAAGAAAUGGGUGAUUUUUACCCAAAUUUUUUUUGUGGGGAGGGGUCUCCCCUCAGCCUUUUUUUGGGUGGGUGGGCGAGGUCAAGACCCCUCCCCAUCAAUAUUUUUUGAGGGGGGUCAGGGCUAUUUUUUAGAAGAAUUUUUCCCAGACCCCACCCUAAAAAUAUUUUUUUUGGGGAAGAAAUGGCGAUUUUUACCCAAAUUUUUUUAGUGGGGAGGGGUCUCCCCUCAGGAAUUUUUUCUUUUUGGGGAGGGGUCUCCCAUCAGGGUGCUAUUUUGGGUGGGUGGGCGAGGUCAAGACCCCUCCCCAAAUAUUUUUUUUAGGAUUUUUCCGAGACCCCACCCCAAUAUUUUUGGGAAUGGGGGGAUUUUUAACCAGAUUUUUUUUUGUGGGGAGGGGUCUCCCUCAGGGAUUUUUUGGGUGGGUGGGCGAGGUCAAGACCCCUCCCCAAAUAUUUUUUUGGGGGAGGGGACAGCCCUCCUUCAACAGAGAUUUUUUAGCAGUUUUUUUUCCCAGACCCCACCCCACAAAUAAAUUUUUUGGGGAAAGAAAUAGGGGAUUUUUACCCAAAUUUUUUUUGUGGGGAGGGGUCUCCCCUCAGGCCUUUUUUGGGUGGGUGGGUGAGGUGAAGACCCCUCCCCAAAUAUUUUUUUGGGGGGUGGGGAGGUCAGGGCUAUUUUUUAGAAGAAUU